rnacentral:tRNA from 1 species
AGAAAUGUGGGUGUAAAGGAAACAACGUGGAAUUUUGAGUUCUUAAAUGUGAGGUUCAACUCCUACUGUUUCUA